GCUUAAAUAGUUUAAUUUAAAACGCUGGUCUUGUAAACCAGAAAAGAAAUCUGAAUUUUCUUUAAGCA
rnacentral:tRNA from 1 species